CCGUGAGCAGCAUAUGAGUAGCACGUGGUAGAAAAUUUAAUUUCACACUAAUAAUUUUUGUUCUUGUGUUUGAAAGCGUAAAAUCAAAAUAACCAGAGUUAAGAAGUUUUUGGGUAUGGAUUCGACUAAUGAACAACAAAAUACAUUGGAGAGUGUGGAUGGUUUGAUGGAGGAACAGAGCGAUUCCAGUAAUGAUCAGCCAAAAUCAAGAAAAAAAAGGGCUGUCUUGGACGCGCCUCCAACCACUGCAAUGCCUAAUGGAGAACCUCCGGAGGAGUUUUAAGAUGACUAUCUGAUCUUAUUAGAUUUUAUCUUAUGUUUUUAAUGACUACCCACAGACUGCACACUAGUAUUAAUUCUAUUUGGAAAAAUAUUCCGCCCGUAUUUUAGAAUAUAAUUAAGAUUUUUCACGCAUUUGCUAAACAAUGCUUUGUUGCAAUUUACUGAUUGAUUAAAAGAAUAGCGUUAAUCAAAUUAUUUUAUAUAACGUAAGUGAGUAAUACCUCAAUAUCAAAACCUAUUUAAGCAAUAUAUAGUAUAUAAUUAAUAAAACUAUCUAUAUAAAGAAAAACAAUUGUUAAUCUUUCUACCUCUAUAUUUUUAUACAUUCUUUUGAGGACUUCUUUUUUGGUCUCGGUCACUUUACUAGAUGUUAGUCAUUACAGUAUAAGGGAUGCUCCAUUAAAGUUUAAGAUGUCAUAUUCAAAUUCAAGUUGACUUUAAGAGCGAAAGAUCCUUAUCAAUAUUAGCGCAGGAUAAGGUUCUUCAAGGCUCUAUCAGAAAGGGUAUUAAAACACACUUUUUUUAUAUGUCAAUACUGCAGUUUAUACAUAUAGUGGAGAGAUGAGAAUUAAAAAUGAAGUUGCUAUGGCGAAACAAUGGAACUUACGUGGUAAGAAAAAUUUCGUUACUCCCCAACAUAGAUAAACACUUGCCAAUAGAAGUUGUCUAACCAUAGCAAUAAGAUUAUAGAAUCAACUUCUAAAUAAAUUUUUAAUAGAACUUAA
rnacentral:lncRNA from 1 species